UGGGGAAUAUUGGACAAUGGGCGCAAGCCUGAUCCAGCCAUGCCGCGUGUGUGAAGAAGGCCUUUUGGUUGUAAAGCACUUUAAGCGAGGAGGAGGCUACUUGGAUUAAUACUCUAGGAUAGUGGACGUUACUCGCAGAAUAAGCACCGGCUAACUCUGUGCCAGCAGCCGCGGUAAUACAGAGGGUGCGAGCGUUAAUCGGAUUUACUGGGCGUAAAGCGUGCGUAGGCGGCUUCUUAAGUCGGAUGUGAAAUCCCUGAGCUUAACUUAGGAAUUGCAUUUGAUACUGGGAAGCUAGAGUAUGGGAGAGGAUGGGAGAAUUCCAGGUGUAGCGGUGAAAUGCGUAGAGAUCUGGAGGAAUACCGAUGGCGAAGGCAGCCAUCUGGCCUAAUACUGACGCUGAGGUACGAAAGCAUGGGGAGCAAACAGG
rnacentral:rRNA from 1 species